ensembl:snoRNA
AGCUUUCAAUGUUUUAUUUUUCAUUUCUACGGAAAAGAGGUGAAGUGGACAGAAGGGAUGUCUGAAAUUCUAUCCUGAGGCU